rnacentral:rRNA from 1 species
AACGCGAAGAACCUUACCUACGUUGAACUACGCAGGAAAAGCCAUGGAGACAUGGUGUCCGAAAGGGCCUGCGAUAGGUGGUGCAUGGCUGUCGUCAGCUCGUGUCGUGAGAUGUUGGGUUAAGUCCCGCAACGAGCGCAACCCUUGUCCUAUGUUGCCAGCGGGUAAUGCCGGGGACUCGUAGGAGACUGCCGGGGUCAACUCGGAGGAAGGUGGGGAUGACGUCAAGUCUGCAUGCCCCUUACGCGUAGGGCUGCAAACAUGCUACAAUGGCCGGUACAAAGGGCUGCUAUCCCGCGAGGGGGAGCGAAUCCCAAAAAGCCGGUCUCAGUUCGGAUUGGAGUCUGCAACUCGACUCCAUGAAGUCGGAGUCGCUAGUAAUCCCGGAUCAGCAACGCCGGGGUGAAUACGUUCCCGGGCCUUGUACACACCGCGAGC